rnacentral:rRNA from 1 species
CAGUAGCCGCGGUAAUACGAAGGGUGCAAGCGUUACUCGGAAUUACUGGGCGUAAAGCGUGCGUAGGUGGUGGUUUAAGUCCGUUGUGAAAGCCCUGGGCUCAACCUGGGGAUUGCAGUGGAUACUGGGUCACUAGAGUGUGGUAGAGGAUAGUGGAAUUUCCGGUGUAGCAGUGAAAUGCGUAGAGAUCGGAAGGAACAUCUGUGGCGAAGGCGACUAUCUGGGCCAACACUGACACUGAGGCACGAAAGCGUGGGGAGCAAACAGGAUUAGAUACCCCUGUAGUCCCUGUCUCUUAUAC